UAACCAUCCAAGACCAAACAUCAUACAUGUUCAACAGUGACAAGAAAAGUACCCGUCUCCACAUUAGCAGGUCAUUGGAGCCAAAUGUGAUUUUAAUUCUCGUGACUGUGAGCAACUUACAUUCUUAGCCCUCACAAAAAUACAUGUAUGUUAUAUUGUAAUUGAAAAUUCUGACACUUAAUACAUCAUAUCCUCCUUAUUUCAUUUCAUGUUCCCUAUGAGCAUUUGUUAUAAAUCUUGUCCCCAUCCUAGUUCCAAUAUUCUCCCAAUUAUUGGACGAUUCUCAUAUUAUUCUCGAUUUUUCUCUUGACCAAAUGGUUAUCUGAAUUAUUCUCUAAAAAUAAAUUGAUCCAAAACUAUUCAAUUUUUCUUGGAUUAUAUGCAGAUAUUAUGGCUUAUCUAUGAAUUAUUUAUGGCUAAUUCAAAACAAUUUAUUUAUGUUGUACAAAGUAAUGAUAUCAUAUAUCAUUGCUAGAGGUGAUUUUUUUUGGCUACCGUUUGUUACUUUUGCCUCUCCUAAUAAGUAAAUAAGUUCAUAA
rnacentral:lncRNA from 1 species